rnacentral:rRNA from 1 species
AUUGAACGCUGGCGGCAGGCCUAACACAUGCAAGUCGAACGAGUGGCGGACGGGUGAGUCAUGUCUGGGAAACUGCCCGAUGGGGGGGGAUAACUGCUGGAAACGGUAGCUAAUACCGCAUACCAUCGGAUUUGCCCAGAUGGGAUUAGCUAGUAGGUGGGGUAACGGCUCACCGAUGCGACGAGCCCUAGCUGGUCUGAGAGGAGGACCAGCCACACUGGAACUGAGACACGGUCCAGACUCCUACGGGAGGCAGCAGUGGGGAAUAUUGCACAAUGGGCGCAAGCCUGAUGCAGCCAUGCCGCGUGUAUGAAGAAGGCCUUCGGGUUGUAAAGUACUUUCAGCGAGGAGGCGUUACUCACAGAAGAAGCACCGGCUAACUCCGUGCCAGCAGCCGCGGUAAUAC